ACAGCAGCUCUACCAAUGAGGAACUCAGAAGUCAACCCAAGAAUACCCCCUUUCUUCACCAAGGGAGCAUCAAUCUCAUAUUUGUUCAAAUGAAGAGCUUCGACUAUGACAUGAGAUCUGGGAAUCUCCUCCAAUCCACUGAAAGGUACCUUGUCAGAUACGGGUAUACCCAAGAGAUGGGCAUACUCCUCCAACUUGGGCACUAGCUGAUAGUCGAGAAAAGUGAC
rnacentral:lncRNA from 1 species